rnacentral:tRNA from 1 species
CGUAGCUCAGCUGGAUAGAGUACCUGGCUACGAACCAGGCGGUCGGAGGUUCGAAUCCUCCCGCGCGCACCA